rnacentral:rRNA from 1 species
GUAGGUGGCAAGCGUUGUCCGGAAUUAUUGGGCGUAAAGCGCGCGCAGGCGGUUCUUUAAGUCUGAUGUGAAAGCCCACGGGCUCAACCGUGGAGGGUCAUUGGAAACUGGAGAACUUGAGUACAGAAGAGGAAAGCGGAAUUCCACGUGUAGCGGUGAAAUGCGUAGAGAUGUGGAGGAACACCAGUGGCGAAGGCGGCUUUCUGGUCUGUAACUGACGCUGAGGCGCGAAAGCGUGGGGAGCAAACAGGAUUAGAUACCCUGGUAGUCCACGCCGUAAACGAUGAGUGCUAAGUGUUAGGGGGUUUCCGCCCCUUAGUGCUGCAGCUAACGCAUUAAACACUCCGCCUGGGGAGUACGGCCGCAAAGGCUG